rnacentral:tRNA from 1 species
GGAUUGUGGCUCAGCGGUAGAGUGCUCGCCUAGCAUGUGCAUGUGAGGCCCUGGGUUCGAUCCUCAGCUCCA